UACGUAGGGUGCAAGCGUUGUCCGGAAUUAUUGGGCGUAAAGAGCUCGUAGGCGGUUCGUCGCGUCGGCUGUGAAAACCUGAGGCUCAACCUCAGGCCUGCAGUCGAUACGGGCGGACUUGAGUACUGCAGGGGAGACUGGAAUUCCUGGUGUAGCGGUGAAAUGCGCAGAUAUCAGGAGGAACACCGGUGGCGAAGGCGGCCUGCUGGGCAGUAACUGACACUGAGGCGCGACAGCGUGGGGAGCAAACAGG
rnacentral:rRNA from 1 species